ACGGAGGGGGUUAGCGUUGUUCGGAAUUACUGGGCGUAAAGCGCGCGUAGGCGGAUCAGAAAGUUGGGGGUGAAAUCCCGGGGCUCAACCUCGGAACUGCCUCCAAAACUCCUGGUCUUGAGUUCGAGAGAGGUGAGUGGAAUUCCGAGUGUAGAGGUGAAAUUCGUAGAUAUUCGGAGGAACACCAGUGGCGAAGGCGGCUCACUGGCUCGAUACUGACGCUGAGGUGCGAAAGUGUGGGGAGCAAACAGG
rnacentral:rRNA from 1 species